UGUUAUGUUUGGAUUGAAAGAUUGGCUACCUGGAGUAUACCUUCUGUCUUGAAAUUCUACUAAAAAACGUAGUUUUUUGUCUGCAGAUGAACACUGGAUCCCGUUCAAAGCCACAAAAGAAGGCAAGAAUCGGCUAUCUUGACUGAACGGAGUACAAUUCUUUUCGUCACGACAGCUGCUCGGAUAUUCCAACUGGCAUUCUCUGGAUAAUUCAAAUCGAAGCAACGGGAUCCUUCAGAUACGAGUGUAAUAGGAGCAUCCGUCGACAAAGGUUUUCAAUGGGGUUUUCAUUUUUUGCGGUUUAAAUAUUGUGAGAAGGUAAUAAGACUAGAUAUAUGUGUGAACAUAUAUCGUGGAUUAUUCAUAUGGGUUCACAUAUGUAUCUUUAAAUUGAUUUUUCAUGAUAUUUAAUUUUUUUUUCUGCUAACAAAUUGCAUCUUUAGAUUUUGU